rnacentral:rRNA from 1 species
CUACGGGACGCUGCAGUGGGGAAUAUUGGACAAUGGGCGCAAGCCUGAUCCAGCAAUGCCGCGUGAGUGAUGAAGGCCCUAGGGUUGUAAAGCUCUUUUACCCGGGAAGAUAAUGACUGUACCGGGAGAAUAAGCCCCGGCUAACUCCGUGCCAGCAGCCGCGGUAAUACGGAGGGGGCUAGCGUUGUUCGGAAUUACUGGGCGUAAAGCGCACGUAGGCGGCUUUGUAAGUCAGAGGUGAAAGCCUGGAGCUCAACUCCAGAACUGCCUUUGAGACUGCAUCGCUUGAAUCCAGGAGAGGUCAGUGGAAUUCCGAGUGUAGAGGUGAAAUUCGUAGAUAUUCGGAAGAACACCAGUGGCGAAGGCGGCUGACUGGACUGGUAUUGACGCUGAGGUGCGAAAGCGUGGGGAGCAAACAGGAUUAGAUACCCGAGUAGUC